UAAUACAUGCAAGUCGAGCGAACAGACGAGGAGCUUGCUCCUCUGACGUUAGCGGCGGACGGGUGAGUAACACGUGGAUAACCUACCUAUAAGACUGGGAUAACUUCGGGAAACCGGAGCUAAUACCGGAUAAUAUAUUGAACCGCAUGGUUCAAUAGUGAAAGACGGUUUUGCUGUCACUUAUAGAUGGAUCCGCGCCGCAUUAGCUAGUUGGUAAGGUAACGGCUUACCAAGGCAACGAUGCGUAGCCGACCUGAGAGGGUGAUCGGCCACACUGGAACUGAGACACGGUCCAGACUCCUACGGGAGGCAGCAGUAGGGAAUCUUCCGCAAUGGGCGAAAGCCUGACGGAGCAACGCCGCGUGAGUGAUGAAGGUCUUCGGAUCGUAAAACUCUGUUAUUAGGGAAGAACAAAUGUGUAAGUAACUAUGCACGUCUUGACGGUACCUAAUCAGAAAGCCACGGCUAACUACGUGCCAGCAGCCGCGGUAAUACGUAGGUGGCAAGCGUUAUCCGGAAUUAUUGGGCGUAAAGCGCGCGUAGGCGGUUUUUUAAGUCUGAUGUGAAAGCCCACGGCUCAACCGUGGAGGGUCAUUGGAAACUGGAAAACUUGAGUGCAGAAGAGGA
rnacentral:rRNA from 1 species